GUAACCCUGAGGAAAAAAAUACGAGAUCGACCAGCCCGUGGUCGGAAAUCCUUCGACGUCGACACUAAUUGCACAUUUUAUUAUGACGCGUCUACGGGCAUUCUGUACUAAUUUUUAUUUUUUUACAAUUAUCGAUUACUCUGCCAUUCGCGAUUCGCGGAAUCGGACCCACAUCACGGUGCGGAGGUGCGGAGUACUUUUCGUUCGAGUUUUUCGUUCGUUAAAAAGAGAGAAUCCUUUCCGCGAUUUAUCCAUUAUUUUUCAACCAAACUAGGUACGGUAACCAAUAAACGAAUAAUUUCCGGAUUUUAGUGUUUGGCAAAUUUAACGAAGACUGUAAACAAUUCGUGCCGAAACAUAAUUCGAAAAUUAAUAUCACGAAAUCAAGUUCAAGAGAUUUUACAAAAAAUAAUUAACGAACUUGUUCGUCUGGAAGGAUUUGGAUAUUGUCAAGUUCAAGGACAAUUUAGGACGACGGCGACGAGUAAUAUUCCGCAAUACCGGAAUAAGGAGUUCGUAAUCAGGCAUUUUUUUCCAUUAUGCACCCAAUUAUCAAUCGGCAUAAAUCGGAGGAUUCAUUUAUACGGCACAUACGUACCGAUCGGGAAUACGAGGGGAUUAUCGGUGACGAAACAAACGGGAAAAAUAAUGGUCCCAACGAUUAAAUAAUUAAUUGUCGUUAUCGCUACGGUAAACGGACAGGAGUCACGUAGGAUUAAGGAUCAAUCGAUUGGUUUAUCGCUUUGCGAACAAAUAAAUUUUUAUCCCCGCUCAAACGUGAGAAGAAGGGGGUCAGACAGGGGGAUCGCGGAGAAAAGAAGGAGAAGGAACUACGCAGGAAUCUUCGUUAAGAAUGAUUAUGCUCGAUCGAGUGGCAUUACCACGGCAAUUCAAAUUUUAGUAUCUAUUGAUUCGAAUAAUUUUCAAUAUCUGCGGUUAUUGAGCGAUUAUUUGACAAUGCGAUCACCCCGUGCAACGGGAGUUCUUCGAAAUGCAUUCGCUAUCCAUCGCGGCAUCGUACGAUAUUUAUUUAUAUAUUAAGCACGUGAGUCUGAACAAUGCAUCUAAAUAUACCUGUCGCAUGUCUGCAAAUGUUUGCAUCGCGACCUUGGUAUUCUACGUAAGUAAUUGAGGAUAUGAAAAUGAAAAUUUCCCACAGAUUCAGAUUACUUAGGUAUAACGGUUUAGACGAUCGCUUAUUGGCAUACGCGAGCCAAACGAGAGCAGAGUGUGAAAAUAAUGAAAAUAAAUUUUGCUACGGCAAUUACGAGGAGCGAUCGAGUGUAGGGUGCUAUAAGAUUUUAUAUUCUCUACCCGGAUUCGGUUAUGACGUACGCUAAUUCCUAACCGAUCGGUUUAAUCGGUAGAAUGAAAAUGAACUCCACUCGAAAGUGACCGGUUGAAGAGUGAUAUUUUUUACUUAACGGGGUUUCCAAGUGUCUAAACGGGCGAUUUAUACUCGUGAUAAGCAUCGUGAAUAGAAAGAAGAGUAUUAGCCAGUUCAGCGUCGAUUUGAUGGCUGUGACGACAUUGAUAUACGUGGCGGUGUGAUCGGCGGAUUCGUUCCUCUGAUUUACGAUUGAUCGAAGAGCUACGUAGUUUCUGGAAUGUUCGCCGUGAUGUAAAAUCACACGACUCUGUUGAUUGGAAAUCCGGUAAUUAUAAACAGAUCGAUUCGGUGUCGUUUAAUUGUUCAGGUUCGGUCCAGAUUUUAAUGUACUUCCAGGCUGGAGUCGUCGCGUCGGAGUGACGGUUCAACGCAAUUCACUCCGAAGCUCCAAGGAUACGACGCACAGCCGCACCGGACGAGCUUGUUUUUCUAAGCACGUUCGAACCCCUCCGUUUCUAUUAACAUAGCCAUUUGGAAUAUAUUCUUAUACGCUUACGGAAGAUGGAAGAGUGCGGUUUCUUCCGAGCGUAGAAAUUUUGGCUGGAUUGAAAAAAAAAUUGCCUCCGUGGUAAUCCAAGGUACUUCGACGCAAUGGUAUUCAUCUGGAUAGUGAGAUUUUCUACGGGAUCGAGAGGAAGGGGAACUUCAAAUAUUGCUACAUGGGAGUCGGAGAUCGACAAACAGAUCUUCCUUCGACAGAAGGCUAACCAAUGAGAUAUUCCAAAUAGUCUGCAGCCUAUUAAAAAAAUCGAGUAAAGAUCAGGGUACAACUCUUCUGAGCGUUUAUACCAGAUCGUCUAUUUUAGUUGGCAGGGGCUC